UACGGGGGGUGCAAGCGUUGUCCGGAAUCAUUGGGCGUAAAGCGUUCGUAGGCGGCAUGCCAAGUCUGAUGUUAAAUCCUGGGGCUCAACUCCAGUUCGGCAUUGGAUACUGGUAAGCUAGAAUUUGGUAGAGGUAAAGGGAAUUCCUGGUGUAGCGGUGAAAUGCGUAGAUAUCAGGAGGAACACCGGUGGCGUAAGCGCCUUACUGGGCCAUAAUUGACGCUGAGGAACGAAAGCCGGGGUAGCAAAU
rnacentral:rRNA from 1 species